CCCAUCAUUUGGUAUUCACUGAGCACUGCCCUGGAUCAUUGGAUGCGGCUGCCAAGUAUGGUGGAACACGUUUUUAUCCCAGAACAUGGGAGCCUGAGGCAGGAGGAUUGUGAGUUCCAAGCGAUAUAGUGAGGCUUUCUUGGACUUUUUUGACACCCCAAUAAAGAAACACUGCAGGCUUAAGCUCUAUCUCUAGUGUUGGAGGCAUGGGUCUGUAUGUAUGACACAGGGUCUCCCUGCAUAGGUCCUGGUAACUUGAAACUCAUUGUGUACCCUAGACUGGCCCAGGACCCACUGCAAUAAUCCUCCUGCCUUAGCCUCCUCAGGACUGAAAUUACAAAUGAGAACCACCAGAUCAUGUUGGAGCAAACUUUGGGAGGUGGUAAGUAGGUUCGGGCAGUUGACGAGGUUAGUGUUCUUAUAAAAAAGGAAAAGACACAGCCUAUCCUCCAGGGACACACACCAAGGGAAGGCCACAUGAAGAGGCAACAGGAAGGCAGCCAGGAAGGAGGCAGCUGGGCCUCACCAGCAGUUGGAACUCCUGCACCUUGGACAUGGACUCUCUAGACUUCAGAACUGUGGGAAAUAAACACAUGCUGUGCAUGCCUGUCACUUGCCCCACGGUAACUUGUGAAAGUGAGCUGCUCUAGCUUGUUGUCUGUUACUGUGGGGAAUACUGAGACCAAAAGCAACUUGGGAAGGAAUGGGUUUAUUUGUGUUUACAGGUUGUGUACACUCCCUCUCUGAGGGAUGCCAAGGCAGGAGCUCAAAGCAGAAUCCAAGAGGAAGGUUGCUUACUGCUCUGCUCUCUGACUUACUCUAUGCUAAUGUUCUUGUACAGCCCAGGCACCACUGACUACAUGGUGCUGCCCACUGUGGCCUAGGCCCUUGGAGCACACCAAUUUUGGAACAAGACAAUUCCUCACAGAUAUGGCCAUAGGCCGAUCAGAUUGAGGUAACUCUUUACUUGAGGUUUCUUCAUGCCAGGUGGUUCUGGGUUGUGUCAAGUUGACAAUAAAAACAGACCUAGCUAAGACAAGCACCUACCUCAUGUGACCAGAGAGGGUAAGGCCUCCGAGGACUCAGAAGCAGCUUACACACAUUUUUGUGCAGUUUACGUCCUCACAGCUCCUCCCUCCAUCAAUGCUUGUUUGAAGGUGAAGACAGAUGUGAGCAGAGAAUGAAGACAUUAAGUGUAAGUAACAAGUCUUUGAGAGCCUCUGGGUCACUAAGGUAGCUCAGUGGGUGAAGUGGCUUGCCUCUAAGUCUGAAGACCUGAGAUCAGUCCCCAGCAUUGAUGUGGUGGAAGGACAAAAGUGAUCUUUACAAGAUGUCCUCUGAUCCCUACAAACAGGAUAACCACAAAUAAAUGUGAUGAAAAUUAUCAUUAAAUUACAAUUAUUAUUUUAUGUGUAACAGUUACAGAGUUGCUGUUAUUGUUAUAGCAGAUCCAUUUUCCUCUUUUAAGACCUACCCUCUUACAUGAACGACGAAGCUACUUAAUACCUGAAUGGACUGGCAGGGGUGCAACAUAAAUAAAGAAAAUUUCCAGUAACUUCCUGGGGGUGCAGAUGUACAAGUUAUACAGGGAGGUAGGAAUAAGCAGGGUGCGUUUCUGACCCGUGAGAAGGGCAGUGUCCUAAUCCUACCCAGCUAUCUUAGGAGGGCUGUGUGAAACAGGAAUACUCUAGGACAGAGCUCAUGGCUCACAAGCACACCACUGCUCGAGAAUUGAGCCAGAUUCAGCCAGGAAUCUCUGAGUUUUACCAAGCUGGAUCCAGGGGGCCACUCUCCAUUCCGUGAGGUGCUUGUGUCACCAAGUGAGUCACCGAUGUGGUUGGGAAUGGUCCAAGGGUUCCUGCUCUCUGCUUGCUAGGGCUGUUUGCCGGAGAGAGAGCACAAUCCUUCCACAUUAGCGGUGGCUUUUGCAUUGAUGACUCGUCCUGACAUUUAAUGGGGCUUCUGCAGUCGGGAGUGAAAAUUGGAAGCUCAGAAAAUCAAACCCUGAGAUGACACAAGAUCUUGGUUACUGCAGAUUUAAAAACAGCAGAGGACCUCACGGUGUCAUUCCACAGGGAAAGUCACCCCCUGGGUCACCUUUCUGGAAGCUGGGUAAGAGACACAAGAUGGGAGAGACAGCAGUCCCCAGAACUAUGUCUCCAGUCCUUCCUAUGAUCUCAAGCCUGUGUUUACGCCAUGGCCUUCUAUGCAACAUGUCUGACCUCUGACAGUUUGCAGGCACAUGUGAGCCCAUUGUCAUACCUGGGUCUUUUUUCUUAAAGGUGUUUUUCUUAUUCCCCUCCCCCAUCUUUUAAUUAUUUUCUUCAGUUAGCAUACGAAGUAAUGGGUCCCACUGUGAUGUGUUCAUACACAGGUCCUUAUGCUUCCUGAUUCUCCUCUUGACUGUCCUCUAAGCCCCACACCACUUAUUGCCCAAACAGUUCUUCCUUCUGCACUCAGUUCUGCCUUCUCUCCUCUCUAGCUGCUUUGAUUCUUCUUCAUCCCGAGUUCCUCCCUUUGUUUUAAUUUGAAGAUUUAAGUUAUGUAUGUGUACAUCUGUGUGGGUGUGUGCACGAGUGCAGUAUCUGCAGAGACCAGAGGUUGGAUCUAAAUUCUGCGUAUGACAGAAAACAUGCUAUCCUUUCCCCAAGUGUGGCUUAGGUCACUUAAUGUAAUGAUUUCCAGUUCUAUCCAUUUCCCCACAGCUAUUUUCAUUCUUUUUUUUUUUUUCUUUUUUUUCGGAGCUGGGGACCGAACCCAGGGCCUUGCGCUUGCUAGGCAAGCGCUCUACCACUGAGCUAAAUCCCCAACCCCCUAUUUUCAUUCUUUGCCUAGCAAAAUUCCACCGCAGGGGGCCAGAAGAUGGCUCAGCAGGUAAAAAUGUCAACAAGCGUGCGCUUCGUAGGCAAGCGCUCUGCCACUGAGCCAAAUCCCCCAACCCCAGAACAGCUCUUCUUUAACCAUGUAUCUGUCGAUGGACAUCUGGGUUGGCUCCUUAUCUGGCUACUGUGAAUAGUGCAACGAUAAACAUGGGUAUAAACGUGUCUCUGUGAUGUGCUGACUUAGAAUCUCCCCAGAUUUAUCAGAGGGGGGUGUGUGCUUGCGCACGCUCGCUCGUGAACUGCUUGGGACCCUCUAUCUCUCACAGGCCACAGGGUCUCAGGCAGGUGAUCUCCCCCCUGAACUUCAUGAAGGUAAGAUCGCACCAAGAAUCCAGACUCCACAGGUAUUGGGGGCGGGGAAACAAAUCACAGAAGCAUGAUGGGCAGGGCACACAGACAUGGAGACUAAGGACAGGAAUCUAAAUGGCCACGUAGAGGACUUUCCGUGUGUCUGGUAUGAGUCGCCAGGAGACAGGUCUGUGGUAUUUAGGGAAGACCCACAGCCAGUGAUGACACCUGCCAUUGUCCUACUGAACUCCCUUACUACGGUGCGACUUCUCCGAAGCUGUUCUUGGUAUGACCAUGUUCACAGUGAAUGGCUCAGGACUGAAAAGCAAGGUCGGCCUCUGACACCUCUGGCCCUGGUGUGCCAGCCCAGGUCUCUUAAGCACAACCUCUCCAGUUCCAGAAAACCCAAGCGUAGGCUCCACAGGGCUGGGCCUAGGGUCAGCUAAACUUAAGCACCAAAAAAAUGAAAACUCUGGAGCCAGCCCGGUGGCAAUGACUAAGAGCUUGUCAAAGGUCAGCUCUGUGACCUGGGGAGCAUACUUCUUGUCUGAGGUGGCCGAACGGGAGCAGUGCGAGCUGCGGCUCCUUUAAGACAGCGAAACUCGAACUUUCUAUCCCGGCUUCUCGGCAGCGCGCUUACGUCACAGCGUUCUCCGCGAAGGGGCGGGGCUGAUGACUCACGCAGUCGGGCCUCCGCCCCGCCGGGCCGCGCGCACGUGAGCGCGCAGCUCGGCCGGUCUAAUUUUAGCUCUGAGGUGUCAGGGUCGUGUGAGCUUCUGGCACCAUGAAAACACGGAGAAAGGUUAUAGGUCAGUUCCAGUUCUAUUUUUCUGUCCCGUAACCAAGGAACGUGGGAUCUUUAGCCAAUGGAGUCUCACCAUCUUGUUCUGCACCCCUUACAGAAGCUAUCAGAGCUGAUGGGUGGCGGUAGGCUGCAACGAGAAGACCUGAGACUUCCUGGACAACAGCAAUCACCAGAUGCCAGAGAGGCUCCCUCCCAUCGCCAGCUAUACAGCGUGUGCAGGUGAGCCCUGUCAACAGCCAUGCCAUCGAGGGAAAUGAUGGAUUCCAUUAUCCGAAAGCCAUAGGACUUCCCAAACUCCAUCCUGCCCACUAAUCACGAAACUACAAAGCCAGUGAGCUGAGAAGAUGAGGAAAAGUAAGCGUGCUAACCGCUGAACAGGAAAGACUUCUGAUAAACAGCAGCAUAAUUCGAUGCCCAAAGGUACAGAAUCCAAAGACAGGAAAUUCCAGGACUCCUAAGAGAGAAGCUGCCUUCAGCGUCAAGUUCCUGGCCUGUACAAAUCCAAAGAUCCCGCCUCAGUCUACCUGACCAGACAUUGGUCAUUGGCUCUUCAAUCAAAAACCAAAUGGAGACAAGGACCUUCAGCAUUUGGAUGGGCAGAUUCCUGAUUAGGGAGACUGGAUUAAUGCAAAGCAUUAGAAUCAAUCCCCAACAGCAAAGCGUCUUCUGGUCAGCUUCAUGCCUGCUUUCUCCUUUAGGGAUCAGCCAGAAAGAAUGGCUUGCUGUCUUCUACACCCCACCCUUCAGUUUCCUCCUCCUUGGAAUUUCGUCUCCAGGCUCUGUGCGGGCUGCUUCCUCUUUCUAAAUGUCAUCUCUGCUGUUUUCAUGGAUGUGUGCUCUCCCUCUCUGCUCAAAACAUCACAGGAUUCCGGCUCUCCUCAGUAACCUUUGCCCUUGUGAAUUCUUGACAUUCUCCUUGGCCACAUUGCCCUGUGUCAUAAUUCCAGGGCUGUAAAUUAAGAGUGUCACACAUCAGCACAGAAACUGCAAAUCUGUGCACGGAGCUCUGAGCACAGCCACAGAGGGCAGCUUCCUGGCUGGCCCUUGUGCCUCUGUCUCUGAAUGCAGCUGUGUCCCAGUGCUUAGUUAGCCUUCCCUCUCCCCCACCAUCUUGGUGAAUUCACCAAGUCUAGCUCUAUGCCAGCAUGGGCUGCAGCAGCGCAAGCCCCUCCUGAGUGAUCAGAUCACUCAACCUCCAGUACCCUCUGGCUCCUACAGCCAGUGACGGCUGUGCUGUCCUUGCUUAGGCCGCACCGGAGACACAGCUGACUUCUGUUCCUCAUGCCUGCAUCCCCUUCGACCUGCCAACAGAUUUGGACACUUGCUCCUCUUGCCAUUCUGCUGUGAACCACACAGCCCUUGCCUGCUUUGUCCAGUUGACAUUAAUGUCUCCCUGCUUCCUGGUAUACGCUGGCUUCCUCUGUAAUUCAGACAGCUAACUCAGCAGCCCCAUUCUCCUGGGAAGUCAGCAGUGGCCUCUCCUCAGCCCAGAGCCUUCUGAUGGUAUCAUGUCCUAAUUCUAAGUAAGAACUGGUGUCCUCUCAAUGGCCUGUGUAGUUCCUAGCACUGUGGUACUUCAGGUGUACCCCAGUUCCAGGCCUGGACAAUAGCCUCCUCUCUGCUUGGAACAUGUUUCUAAGUACCUGCACAGCACAGGUGCACGGCACAGGUGCACAGCACAGCUGCUUGGCACAGGUGCACCUUUGGGUUUAUUCAGUUCUUCCUAGCAUCCCCACCCUUUCUUUGUCCUUUCUUUUUGUCUGUGACACUUACCCCAGAUGAACAUACUAUAUACUUUUUAUUCCAUUGUCUUUCUGAUAGAGUGGAAGCUCCUGAGAGGAUAGGUUUUUAAUCUGACACAUUGUGGGUGCCCAGUAACUAUGUUUAAGUGAAGGGAUGGACGGGAGAGAAUGGUUCAGAUGUCCCUGAGUCAGCUUUCCUAGGAGGAGGGGUGUGUUUGUCCUGUAUCAAACUGGAUGCCAGGGAAUAGUUAGAGAAAAUGUGCUUCAGACCAUCAAGUUCAGCUGCUGGUCCCUUGACUGAUACCCAGGCCUAGCGACAGGAAAAGCAUCCCAAACAGCACAGCACACUGACGUGGACUCCUAGCUCUCAGUCUGCCUCGUAAUCCUCUUGUUGCUCACAGUCAGAGGUUAGUCUCCAGAGUUCUACGUCUAGGAAAGGGAAUGAGGUGUGAGGAGGGGGUAUUUUUAGCCCUGCUGGUUUGGUUUCUCAGCACAAGUGUCUAAAGAAAGCUCCGGUUUUAGUAUGAAAUCAGGAAGUAAGAGGACUGAGUGGCUUCUCUGGAGAUGGCUGCGUGAGCCCAUUGCCACACAGGAUUAGGCCACAGCAAGUUCCCAGGAAGCGUCUCUGCAGAGUCAUCCAAGGCUCAGCAGUAAGAGCAUUCGGUCCACCGGUUAGAAGGGCCACCCAGACAGGCUGUGGGCAGUCAGACUCUCAGUGAGGGAAGGUGGGACUCAAAGUUCUGACAAUGGGGACUGCCAUGCAAGCUCCCAGGGGCGGGAGUGGGGUUUGGGGGGAACAGAUGCGAGCUGCCUGUGACAGUGACAUGAGGCCUUCCUUCCCCUUUGGAAGUUGAAGGUACAGAAGAAGCGAACACGCAGGAGGGCAAGGGUCAUAGUCACCUAGAAAUGACGGCUCGAUGUGUGUACCACGGAGGAGUGGUGGGAAGCAGCCUGGUUGGUAAUGCAUUCCAGGAGAACAUGGCUGCUGUGGACCCAAUGUCCCCACUAAAACUCCUCCAUAAAGUGUUCUGAGGGAGCACGCAGAGCUGGGUCAUGAUAGCUUGGUCCUCAUGAAUAGAUUAGCCCAUCCAUGGGCUCAAGUGUCCGUCAGCUUCCUUCCAUCUCUCUGGGUUCAUGGUCUCUGAGACACCGUUGCCUUCCAGCCUGUGACAAGGCAGAGCAUCUGGGGGAGAGAAGGGCGGGGCAGAGCAGCACACCUCAUGGCAGCCGAGAAGCAGAAGGCAGAGCGAAGGGCUGCUAACAUCCCCUUUGAGAGGGUUCCCAGAGUGACCAAAUGACCUCCCAUUAGGUCCCACCUCUUAAAGGACAUACCCCUUCCCAAGAGCCCCGUGAGCUGGGGACCCAGCUUUUUAGGCACAGGCUUUCGGGGGACACUUACCUAGAUCAUAACAAUGAGUUCCCCUCACAACAGGUCCGUUUGAAAGCCAGUUUGGUGCACUGUAGGAUGCCCCGUUUUGCCAUGUGAUCCCCUAUGCCAUCUAGAAUGCUAAAGAGCAGUGUUUCUCAACCUGUGGGCUGUGACCCCUUUGGGGUCACCUAAGGCCAUUGGAAAGCACACGUUGUUACAUUACAAUUCAAAACAGUAGCAAAGUCACAGUUAUAAAGUAGCAACAGAAAUGAUUUUAUGGUUGGGGGUCACCACAGCAUGAGGUACUGUAUUAGGUUGAGGUCCACUGCUCUAGUGAGGGCCUUACCAGCAAUGAGAACCUCAGAAGAUGGGGCGAGCCAGCCAUGAGCUUCCCAGCCUUCAGAGCUGUAGAAUAACCAGACUCUGGCGUGCCGUUGCAGCGACAGAAAACAGAGAAAAUGAAGCUCACAAGACUCGCUAGUGGGGCCGCCAAAGGAGAAAGUGAGGUAUCCGUGGCGGCUUCUGGGAUUCAGGAGACCAACUCAGUAAGCGGCGAUCUGUAACUAUGGCGAGAAGUGAAGUGGGCUGUGGGCGAAUUUUGUUCUGUUUUUCAAAAUGAUUUCAGACUACGUUGGCCAGUUGUACAUUGACUUAACGCGAGCUCCAGUCACCUGAGAGAGGGGAACCUAAAUCAAGAAAAGAUCAGGUUGUAGGAAAGCCUGUGGGGCAUUUUCUUAAUUCUUAAUUCUUAAUUAAUUAUUAAUUAUUGAUGGAGUCGGGCCCAGCCCAUUGUAAGUGGUGCCAUCCCUGGACUGGUGGUCCUGGGUUCUGUAAGAAAGCAGUCUGGGCAAGCCAUGAGGAGCAAGCCAGUCAGCAGCACCCUCCAUGGCCUCUACGUCAGCUCCUGCCUCCAGGGUCCUGCCCUGUGUGAGUUCCAAUCUUGCUUCCUUCAGUGAUGAACGGUGCUGUGGAAGUGUGAGCUGAAUAAACCCUUUCCUUCCCAGCUUGCUUUUGGUCAUGGUGUUUGGUCACAGCAGUAAUAGCCCUAACUAGGACACAGGCCUAGGCAAAUGUUGCAUGAACAGUGUGAACAAUUCCCAGAUAGUUUUCUUCUCUUUCCACAACACUGUACAGUCAUCAAUACCAGGAUUAACAUAAGCUGCCAGCUUAUAUCAUACUUUGUACCCCGUACUUACAUCCCAGUUCUGUCAGAUUGCCCCACUGGUGUCUGGGUCUGGCCUGGGAGCCCAGCAGACAUCACCAGGGCAUUCAGCCUCUAUGUCUCCGUGGUCUCUGGACUGAGAGGACUCCACAGCUGACUCUUGAGACCUUGAUACUUCUGGAAAGUGCCAUUCGUUUCUAGAAUGUCCUUUUCGUUGCUGGUUUUGUUUGGUCCAUUGGGUUUGUUUGGUUGGUUUUGUUUUCUCAAGGCAGAGUUUCUCUGUGUAGCCCUGGCUGUCCUGCAACUCACUAUGUAGACCAGGGUGGUCUUGAACUCAGAGAUCUGCCUGCCUCUGCCUCCGACGUGCUGGAAAUAAAGGUAUGUGCCACCAUGCCUGGCUCGCUGAACGUCGCUGAA